rnacentral:rRNA from 1 species
GACGAACGCUGGCGGCGUGCCUAAUACAUGCAAGUAGAACGCUGAAGGAGGAGCUUGCUCUUCUGGAUGAGUUGCGAACGGGUGAGUAACGCGUAGGUAACCUGCCUGGUAGCGGGGGAUAACUAUUGGAAACGAUAGCUAAUACCGCAUAAGAGUAGAUGUUGCAUGACAUUUACUUAAAAGGUGCAAUUGCAUCACUACCAGAUGGACCUGCGUUGUAUUAGCUAGUUGGUGGGGUAACGGCUUACCAAGGCGACGAUACAUAGCCGACCUGAGAGGGUGAUCGGCCACACUGGGACUGAGACACGGCCCAGACUCCUACGGGAGGCAGCAGUAGGGAAUCUUCGGCAAUGGACGGAAGUCUGACCGAGCAACGCCGCGUGAGUGAAGAAGGUUUUCGGAUCGUAAAGCUCUGUUGUAAGAGAAGAACGAGUGUGAGAGUGGAAAGUUCACACUGUGGCGGUAUCUUACCAGAAAGGGACGGCUAACUACGUG